rnacentral:rRNA from 1 species
AGCGCAACCCCUAUCUUUAGUUGCCAUCAUUAAGUUGGGCACUCUAAAGAGACUGCCGGUGUCAAACCGGAGGAAGGUGGGGAUGACGUCAAGUCCUCAUGGCCUUUAUGACCAGGGCUACACACGUACUACAAUGGCCGGUACAAAGGGCAGCGACACAGCGAUGUGAAGCCAAUCCCGAAAAGCCGGUCUCAGUCCGGAUUGGAGUCUGCAACUCGACUCCAUGAAGUUGGAAUCGCUAGUAAUCGUGGAUCAGCACGCCACGGUGAAUACGUUCCCGGGCCUU